UCUUUCUCUCACAGAGACUCCGGUGCCCCGCCUGCCUGCGUGUGAGCAUCAGUCCCCAUCUGGAGAGAUCCUGGGCCUACACAUGGCUGUGUGAAGGGCUGGACCAUCCAGGAGUGUUUCCCUUAUGGCCUGGUGUCCCCAGGGCCAGCCCGAAGUGGGCUCAGGGCUUCAGGAUGGCUGGUCCUCUCCCGCCUGGCAGCUGGACUUCUUGCCGGGCAGUGUAGGGGUCCCCAAAACACAAAAAUGAAGUCCUCUCGGCCUUCUUUAGGCUUAGGCCGGGAAUGGGCAGCCUUACUCCCGUGGUACUCGGCAAGCAGGCUGGCCCAGAGUGCGGGUGGGAGGGGUGAGUCAGGAAUGCUGGGGUACUGGGUCAUUCUCCCUGGGGACCCUCGGCCGCAGGGCCGUCAGACUUCACCCAGCAGGACCCAGGCCGAACUUUCCCUGCAUUCAGAGAAAAAUGUGAGAGAGAGAGGCUGAGGGAACUGCCCACUCCCCAUCCUCCUUCUUCCACCCAAAGUGCUGCUGUGCGCGCUCGCCUUGCGAGAGCGGUCCCCGCAGCUUAAUGGCGGCAGCUCGAGCUCCUUAAAUACAAAACACCCCGCAAAUCCGGUAAAUGUCGUUUUCAGAAGCGAAGCAUCAGACCAGAGAGGGUGUGACCUGGGCGGAGAGCAAGGCUGCUGAGCCCAGAGUAGCCCCGGCCCCGGGUUCCGGUCCCGAUGCCAGGCCGCCCCUCCCGGCCCGGGCGCACCGGCCACCGUCCCCGAGCCUGGCGGAGACUUGAGGAUGGCCAGACUCAGCUUUGCCCAACCAGUGAGGGGAGGGGCGGUGCCCGUGCUGGAGGGGCGUGGGGGGCGGUGCUCAGGCUGGAGGGGGCGGGGCCCAGGCUGGCUGGGGAGGACGGUGACGCAGUGCUGGAAAGGGCACGGGGUGCGCGGGCCCCUCUCUGGCCGGGACGGCUCUGACAGUUCGCCCCUUCCGGACCCGAGGACACUCACCCAAGAAUCGCUUCCCAGCCCCGCCACAUUGCCAAAGGCAGGGUUCCGGGGCCUCCUUCCCUUCCUCCUGCCCCCUUCCGUCCCUCCCUUUCCUCUUUAGACACUAAUGGACUGGAGCUGUCCACUGGACUGCAGACCCCUCGAGAUCAAAGGGAAAUCCCAGCAUCCCAAUCUCCCCCAAAGAGCUGCUCCUGGACAGAGACAUCCACAGACAUGUAGGUGAAAGGACAGGACCCCUCUCCAUUCUCCAAAUGUGACAGAUGAUUGCGUGGUUUGUUCUGUCUUGGGCACUGUUUUCUUCCUACAGUUCCACCACUUGGACUUCAACUGCUGGAUCCUUCCCACCUGUCAUGUGGAUGUCCCUCUUCCGAGGAAUCCCCUGAGCCUUGAGGGACAUAGAGCCACUCCCCUCAGCACCUGAGCGGGUGCUGAGCCUUCUGUCUCAGCUCCACAGGCUGCUGGCCGGUGUAGGGGUGUCUGUUCUCCCAUUGCCCAGCUUCACACCUGACACCAGUGGUACUCAAUAAAUAUUGGGAAUGGAG
rnacentral:lncRNA from 1 species